UCGGUCCCUAUCCGUCGUGGGCGUAGGAAAUUUGAGAGGAGCUGUCCUUAGUACGAGAGGACCGGGAUGGACAUACCUCUGGUGUACCAGUUGUCGUGCCAACGGCAUAGCUGGGUAGCUAUGUGUGGACGGGAUAAGUGCUGAAAGCAUCUAAGCAUGAAGCCCCCCUCAAGAUGAGAUUUCCCAACUUCGGUUAUAAGAUCCCUCAAAGAUGAUGAGGUUAAUAGGUUCGAGGUGGAAGCAUGGUGACAUGUGGAGCUGACGAAUACUAAUCGAUCGAAGACUUAAUCAAA
rnacentral:rRNA from 1 species